CUACGGGAGGCAGCAGUGGGGAAUAUUGCACAAUGGGCGCAAGCCUGAUGCAGCAACGCCGCGUGAGGGAUGACGGCCUUCGGGUUGUAAACCUCUUUUAGCAGGGAAGAAGCGAAAGUGACGGUACCUGCAGAAAAAGCGCCGGCUAACUACGUGCCAGCAGCCGCGGUAAUACGUAGGGCGCAAGCGUUAUCCGGAAUUAUUGGGCGUAAAGAGCUCGUAGGCGGUUUGUCGCGUCUGCUGUGAAAUCCGGAGGCUCAACCUCCGGCCUGCAGUGGGUACGGGCAGACUAGAGUGCGGUAGGGGAGAUUGGAAUUCCUGGUGUAGCGGUGGAAUGCGCAGAUAUCAGGAGGAACACCGAUGGCGAAGGCAGAUCUCUGGGCCGUAACUGACGCUGAGGAGCGAAAGGGUGGGGAGCAAACAGGCUUAGAUACCCCGGUAGA
rnacentral:rRNA from 1 species